GCUGGCUCAGUGGUUAGAGCUUACGUAUCGUGACCGGAAGGCCCCGGGAUCGAAUCGCGCUAGAGGCA
rnacentral:tRNA from 1 species